GACGAACGCUGGCGGCGUGCUUAACACAUGCAAGUCGAACGGAAAGGCCCUGCUUUUGUGGGGUGCUAGAGUGGCGAACGGGUGAGUAACACGUGAGUAACCUGCCCUUGACUUUGGGAUAACUUCAGGAAACUGGGGCUAAUACCGGAUAGGAGCCCCUGCUGCAUGGUGGGGGUUGGAAAGUUUCGGCGGUUGGGGAUGGACUCGCGGCUUAUCAGCUUGUUGGUGGGGUAGUGGCUUACCAAGGCUUUGACGGGUAGCCGGCCUGAGAGGGUGACCGGCCACAUUGGGACUGAGAUACGGCCCAGACUCCUACGGGAGGCAGCAGUGGGGAAUAUUGCACAAUGGGCGGAAGCCUGAUGCAGCAACGCCGCGUGCGGGAUGACGGCCUUCGGGUUGUAAACCGCUUUCGCCUGUGACGAAGCGUGAGUGACGGUAAUGGGUAAAGAAGCACCGGCUAACUACGUG
rnacentral:rRNA from 1 species